rnacentral:rRNA from 1 species
GCAGAUUUGUAAAGGAAAAAAACACAACCACACACGCACGGUCUCGCGCUCGCCUCCCUCUCGCCCAGGAAGUCCUCGCCGCCGCCGCUGCCCACGCAGGCCGCUUCCGGCGAGCUCCGGCGCCGUGCAGCGCGUACCCGAGCUCCCCACGCUCCGCGCCUCCCUCCCCUCCAGCCAGAUUCUCCGCUCCCGGCCUCUAUCAUCCGUUCGCAACCCCACCCCAUGGCUAGGGUUUCGGGCAAGGCUUCGCCGACGCGUCUCCAUCCUCGCUCGCUGCCUUCUCCCACCACACCGGCCUCCCUUCCCUAGCAACCCUCCCGCCGUGGAGCACCCUCACACUGGACACUCCUUUCUCUCCCCCUCCCAUCGUCGAACUGGAGCAGCAGCCGCUCCUCCUCCACCUCCCCAAUUUGGGACAGCAACACCACGAGCUAACACCCCGGCGACGAUCUCCUGCUGGUGUGGGUCGGCGUGGGCUUGCCCGAUCUGGGGCAGAUGCGCCGGUUCUGGCGUGGAGAGAUGAGGAGGAAGGUGGGACGGGAGGCCAAGGCAAUGAAGAAACCACGUCGAGCUGCCAUGGCCAUGACCAGAUCCACGACGAGGUUAAAUGGGGUCGGCUGCUCCCUACAGGAUGACGAAGGUCUCCAAGGGCGGGCCUUCUCUUCUCCUCGAAAUCGAUGUGCCUGUGGCAUGCUUGCUUUUCAUGUAAUGACUUGGCGAAAUACAAGAGCAUCUCAUCUUGAUUUGGUGUUCUGUUAAAGGAGCAAUGAGCUAGGGGAUUUUUCAGGGGAUGGGUGCCUACCUUGCUUGGUUACAGUGCUCAGGGGGCUUGCAAGUUUGGGUUCUACGAGUUCUUUAAGAAGACCUACUCAGAUAUGGCUGGGCCUGAGAAUGCCAUGAAGUACAAGAUCCUAAUUUACCUUGCAGGACCAGCUUCUGCUGAGGUAAUUGCUGAUAUCGCUCUGUGCCCCUGUGAAGCUGUCAAGGUCUGUGUGCAGACACAGCCUGGAUUUGCUCGUGGGUUGAGUGAUGGGCUUCCCAAGUUCAUCAAAGCUAAGGGUGCUGCUGGGUAAGUAAAUCACCAGCCGUCUUAACAACUUCAUGAUUUGCUUUACUUACCCUAAUCCUAUGCGCUCUAAUUUAUUGGUUAAUAAUGUCAGGCUUUACAAGGGACUUGUUCCUCUUUGGGGUUGCCUGAUUCCUUAUAAGUGCUUUCUCUCAUCAUUCUGUUAUAGUCUUUUAAUUUGAAUUCUCACUACUAUGAUUGUUUCACAAAUGUGGCCUGCUUUGGAACCAAAUGCUCUAAAUCUGGUCUCCUGUUUCAUCUAAUCGGCCCUGUUUGUUUUUCUUUGAUGCCAAUUGGUGAUGUUUUGUUACCUUUUCUUCUGCUAUAUGAGCAAACACCUAUCCUAUUGAUGACCAACCAUGCUGAUACUAUUCUAUAUUCAUUUUACCAUUUCUAUUUGUUGCCUAGCUUAUGGGCAUUAUUCAUCGACUCCUUAGAGUCGUUCACUCCACAGUUUCGAUGGAAGUUUUUAGCUGAAACUCCAAAAUUCAUUGUCCUUGCAAAAAAUAAAAAUGUUAACCAGACAUGAGAUUACUGUAUGUCUAUCCAUCCACACUUGCGCUGUAGCAGAAGAGAUCAACUUAUCAUAUAUGACCCACACAAUAAUAAAGAAUAAGAAAAAGGAUUAGAUAUUUUUAUAUAGUGUAAAUAAUAAAGAAGCGUGACCCGAGACUGUUGAAUAUGUGAUCUCCAAAGUAGGAAUAUGAGGGAAGAUAGCUUUUUGUUGCUAAACGAUGGACGUCCUCGGCGAAGAAAGCCAUGUUCGUGACCCUCUAAAGAAGAAAGAGCACAAGCCAUAAGAAACAAAUGCACUUUCAUAUACAUAGUAGAACUCGAACCCACGUGAAAACCAUCUAAAGAUAUUGACAACAGAAAUCCUCAGUCACUUCCUUGAACACUUAAAUUACAGGACAAGUUUACAUAGACUAUUUUGUAAAUUGAAAUUACUGAAUAUGAGCACACGAGCAAACAACCACACAGUAACAACCUAAUGGGCAGUGAUUAUUCCAUGAGUGUCAUCCCUAGAAUGUUCAAAUUCACUGAAAUAAGCCAAUUCAGCCCUUCUUAACAGUCUAGCUGAACAUCUCUCACAGAUUUUGCCACUGAUCCAUGAGAAAAGGACAACAUCCUUCUUUCUACCCUCGCCUAUGAUGGCCGUGGUGUCCAGUUCACAAUGUGUCGAAACAUGGUCAAUUCCAUGACAAUGAGCACGCCACCCCACGUGCACACAUGUCACUGCAUCCGCACAAGGGAAUAUUUAAAACUUUAAAAACUAAUUUCUCAAGUUGGACAUGAACGCCCUCUGCGAGCUACUCCCUGCACCUGUCUAUACACCUUCCCUCAUAUUCCUACUUUUUUUUGCACAAAGCACGUCGCUAUGUAGCCUAUUGCCAUGAAUUUGGUCAGAGUUGAGGAACUGGGUCACGACACAUCAAGGGAGAUGAAAAUCUCAUCAAGGACAGAGUGAGAGGGGAGGAUAUAGAUGCCAGGCGGGACAUGGCGAGAUGUGAUGCCGAUGUCUAAGGGCACCAGUGGGUCGAGCGAGACGGGCUUCUGCCCAGCGACGCCAAGAAAGAAGCGUCAAUGGCAGGCGCUGACCAGUCUACGCAUAUUAUGGGCUUACAGUCCAAUUUUGAGUUUUUCAUAUCAACAUGAUUGUUUUACGGUCAAUUUUCUAAAUAUUGUUAGUGACUAGCUAUUUCCUAAUUUUGUUUAUUUAGGUUAGAGAGAAUAUGUAAGGCUAAUGUUUGAGCAGAAGGAGAGUGAAAAGAUGCAAGAGUGAUACACCCAAGCACUUGAUUUGAGUCAAACAUGGUUUGUUGUACAGGAUUCCUCCGUAUUUGUCUGCACAAAUAGUGCUUGAUAUUUACUGAUGAUAGUUUUUCUCCAUAGUUCAGUGUCUACAUCUUUAUUUUCCUAAUAUAGUCAUAUUGCCCAUAUAAGUGCAUCUUUUAUUUUGAGUUCUUCCUGGGUGCCACUCUGAAAGCGAAUUCUUCCUAGGUGUAUCAUGCACAUGUAUCUUGCCGUUCUAUAUUCUCAAGUCUCAACUGCAGAUUCUCAAAGGUUUCGGACACCACUUUGACCUGCGACAAAUAUUUGGACUAUUUAUUUAGUGACACUGAUCAUAGCUGUCCGCAGGAUUUAUUCACUCACCAACUCUGGCUUUUGGUGUACACGGUACACCGUGAGGCAAGUAGGUUGACAUUUUCAUCUGUUAUCAUGAGUGUCGUGUUUACUCUUGCAGUUCAGUUAUUAAGCUUAUGCUUAAGCUGAUUGUACUGUCUAGAGGUGGAAUGGCUAAGCUCUCUUUAUAAUCCUUUUACUGAAUAUCUUGCAAAGGGCACACUAAAGGGGAUGAAAGUAUUAGGUGUGGGGGUAUCAGUCCACUAUGUUCUUAUGUCUAUGGAUCCGCGAAAUGUUGACGCUUUAUUGGUUUUGAUCACAAAAAUGUUUGGUCUACAUGCUUUCAUCUUGAAUAUAUGUAGCUCUAAAGUAAUACUACUUCCCAGUUAGUUCAUUGAAGUAAUGAUACAAUCAAUUGGAUGUUUUUCUACUGUUAUGGAUCUAGCAGGAAAAAAGUUGUUUUGAUGUCAUUGUUUUUCACCAUAGUUCAUUGUCAACAUCUUUAUUCUCCUAAUACAGUCAUAUUAUCCAUAUAAGUGCAACUUUUAGUUCGUAAAAGUACUUUGUACUUAGCCCAAUUGAUUUCACUAGAUCCCCUGUUUAUACAGUAUGUAUGAGACACCUUGCAAUUAUUUCACUAGAUCGAUUGAUGAUAGCUUGCUGUUGCAGAUGAAACCGAAGAAACUGUAUCUAUCCUGGGCCAGUUGCCAACCAAGCCAACAUUGUCUCAGUUACCGGUUCAAAGAUGUCUCAAACCAUGCACAAACAUUUCAGUUGAUACAUACGCCAUAAGUUUGGUCGUCUGCUCUUUUAAAUGCCCAGAAGCAUAACUCUCGAGAUCAUUGCAGAGAUCAUUGCUCACUGAACAUAAGACCAGAUGUUCCAAUUUAUUUUAUUGCUCAAAGAAGAAUUGGUGUUCUGUUGUGUUAUCCUGUGACACUAUAAGUUGAUGAUUAAGUUGGGAAUGUCGUUGCGUAUACAGGCAAGCCGAUGGGCUCUUAUGCUGAAGAGCAGAUUAUUCGAGCCAAUGUUGGUUCCCAUCACGCCUUUGAUUGAUCACACAGUGGCUGCUAUCAUGCUCAAGGGGAUGACUGCCCAUAUGCUGGUUCGCCACAUAUUUAAGGCUUCAUUAGAGUGAUUGGCGUCCUGCGUUUUCCUGCUGUCGUUCGGCAGUCCU